CCAUCGCACCGUGCCUCGCUGUGUCUGUUGGAGGCGGGCGUGCUUUCCUUUCGUUGCUUCCGGUGGGUCGCAGCGUGCCGGCUGGAUCUCGUAGAGCACGUCUGAUCACUCUCACACAAGACAAUAUGACGACAGCCAUCACGUCCAUCCCCAUCCCCCUCCCCAUCAUCUUCUUUCUAAACUAAACAUCUUCCGUUCCUUGAUUACCUCUAGUGACAUUUGCCUCGAGGAAACUGUUGUUGGCCCCUCUGUUUUGUCUUUGAAAGCCUUUGCGGAGGGGUUUGCCACGGUGCCUGAGCUCCGAGAAUGUAGAGGUUCUGAGAUUGAAGAAGGCCAGGAUCUUUACGGAGGAUGACCAGAGCCUGCCUGGAGAGACGAUGGAGCUGAAUGAUUGGCCAUCCAGCAGGAAGCUGAGGAGAAGGAGGGAAACACAUUCUGGAAGCAUCAGUGGAAAGGGAAGCCAACAAUUUCCUGAGACUCAUGUCCGAGGAAUAUGGAUUUAAAUGAAAAGGUAGGGAUGGACGAUGGACAGUGACCCACCUUUUAACAGGCAAAUGAUGAGAGCACUGCCUUUAGAAACAGAUCUGGAUUUCAGUCCUAGUUCCACCUCCUGCUGCUGGUAUAACACAGAUUGGUUGCUUAACCUCUCCAAUUCUUACUUUGCUUCUCUGUAAACUGUGGAUGUUAUUAAUACCUACCUCAGUGACUAUGGUGGAAAUUAAAUGAAAUAA